CUCGUAGGUGGCCAACUAAGUCAUACGUGGAAUCCCUCGGCUUAACCGGGGAACUGCGUCUGAUACUGGAUGGCUUGAGUUUGGGAGAGGGAUGCGGAAUUCCAGGUGUAGCGGUGAAAUGCGUAGAUAUCUGGAGGAAUACCGGUGGCGAAGGCGGCAUCCUGGACCGACAUUGACGCUGAUGAGCGAAAGCCAGGGGAGCAAC
rnacentral:rRNA from 1 species